GGGUUAGGGUUAGGCUUGGAGCUAGGGUUAGGGUUAGGGUUAGGGUUGGAGUUAGGGUUAGUGUUGGAGCUAGGGUUAGGGUUGGGCUUGGAGCUAGGAUUUUUCUGAGUGCACUGAACCAACUCCCGAGUCUCUAGGACAUUCCUAAAAAAAAUUGAUUUUUUUCCCAUAGGAAUGCAUGGGUUAGGGUUAUGGUUAGGGUUAGGGUUGGAGCUAGGGUUAGGGUUGGAGUUAGGGUUAGUGUUG